GAUGAACGCUAGCUACAGGCUUAACACAUGCAAGUCGAGGGGCAGCAUGAACUUAGCUUGCUAAGUUUGAUGGCGACCGGCGCACGGGUGAGUAACACGUAUCCAACCUUCCGUUUACUCAGGGAUAGCCUUUCGAAAGAAAGAUUAAUACCUGAUAGUAUGGUGAGAUUGCAUGAUAACACCAUUAAAGAUUUAUUGGUAAACGAUGGGGAUGCGUUCCAUUAGGUAGUAGGCGGGGUAACGGCCCACCUAGCCUGCGAUGGAUAGGGGUUCUGAGAGGAAGGUCCCCCACAUUGGAACUGAGACACGGUCCAAACUCCUACGGGAGGCAGCAGUGAGGAAUAUUGGUCAAUGGGCGAGAGCCUGAACCAGCCAAGUAGCGUGAAGGAUGAAGGUCCUACGGAUUGUAAACUUCUUUUAUACGGGAAUAAAGUUUCCUACGUGUAGGAUUUUGUAUGUACCGUAUGAAUAAGCAUCGGCUAACUCCGUGCCAGCAGCC
rnacentral:rRNA from 1 species